GCAGAGUUUUUAGGUAAAAAACUAGAGCUUAUGGAAUAACAUAUCUGGGGUCCCCCUUUUUAUAGGCGGAGGGCUCAACAGACUGAUAGCGACGUUCAUAACCGUCUCGUAGUGGGCCGCCCACCGUCAGGAGGAAUUUGUUGCGAGGAGUAGUGGAGUAGGCCCGUGGCCCUCACUGCAGCGCGCCACAUGGAGUCUGCCGCAGGGAGUGGAGUGGCGUCCGUUGUCGCGACUUGCCAGCGGAUGGAAGAAUCGUGCAGUAUCCGUUACAGAAGGUGGAGCAGGAUCGUGGGCAUCAUAGCGGUCCGCCAGGGGAUAGUGGAGCCGCGCGAGAUCCGUCGCAGGAGGUGGAGCAGAGUCGUGGCCGUCAUAGCGGUCUAUCAGGGAAUGAUGGAGCUGCGCGGAAUCCGUCGCAGGAAGUGGAGCAGGAUCGUGGUGGUUGCUGUGUUGCGUCAGAAAGUGCGGAUUUGUCGGCUGAAG
rnacentral:lncRNA from 1 species